rnacentral:rRNA from 1 species
CAGGCCUAACACAUGCAAGUCGAACGGUCUCUUCGGAGGCAGUGGCGGACGGGUGAGUAACGCGUGGGAACGUGCCCUUUGGUACGGAACAACUGAGGGAAACUUCAGCUAAUACCGUAUGUGCCCUUCGGGGGAAAGAUUUAUCGCCAUUGGAGCGGCCCGCGUUGGAUUAGGUAGUUGGUGAGGUAAAGGCUCACCAAGCCUACGAUCCAUAGCUGGUCUGAGAGGAUGAUCAGCCACACUGGGACUGAGACACGGCCCAGACUCCUACGGGAGGCAGCAGUAGGGAAUCUUGCGCAAUGGGCGAAAGCCUGACGCAGCCAUGCCGCGUGAAUGAUGAAGGUCUUAGGAUUGUAAAAUUCUUUCACCGGGGACGAUAAUGACGGUACCCGGAGAAGAAGCCCCGGCUAACUUCGUGCCAGCAGCCGCG